rnacentral:rRNA from 1 species
CCCGUGUCUACCUUACCUUUGUUGCUUUGGCAGGCCGCCUUCGGGCGUCGGCUUCGGCUGAUAGUGCUUGCCAGAGGACCCAACUCUUUUGUUUAGUGAUGUCUGAGUACUAUAUAAUAGUUAAAACUUUCAACAACGGAUCUCUUGGUUCUGGCAUCGAUGAAGAACGCAGCGAAAUGCGAUAAGUAAUGUGAAUUGCAGAAUUCAGUGAAUCAUCGAAUCUUUGAACGCACAUUGCGCCCCGUGGUAUUCCGCGGGGCAUGCCUGUUCGAGCGUCAUUUCAACCCAUCAAGCUUCGGCUUGGUCUUGGGGCCAGCGGUUUCGCAGCCUCUAAACCCAGUGGCGGUGCUAUUGAGCUCUGAGCGUAGUAAUUUCUCUCGCUAUAGAGUCUCGGUGGUGACUUGCCAACAACCCCCAAUUUUUAACAGGUUGACCUCGGAUCAGGUAGGGAUACCCGCUGAACUUAAGCAUAUCAAU